rnacentral:rRNA from 1 species
CGGAUCGCAGGCUGCAACCCGCCCUGCGUGAAGUUGGAAUCGCUAGUAAUCGCGGAUCAGCAUGCCGCGGUGAAUACGUUCCCGGGCCUUGUACACACCGCCCGUCACACCAUGAGAGUCGGGAACACCCGAAGUCCGUAGCCUAACCGCGAGGGGGCGCGGCCGAAGGUGGGUUCGAUAAUUGGGGUGAAGUCGUAACAAGGUACC